rnacentral:rRNA from 1 species
GUGGGGAAUCUUGCGCAAUGGGCGAAAGCCUGACGCAGCAACGCCGCGUGUGUGAUGAAGGUCUUCGGAUCGUAAAGCACUGUCGGGAGGGACGAAUAAGGGCCGGGAUAACACUCCGGUCCGAUGACGGUACCUCCAAAGGAAGCACCGGCUAACUCUGUGCCAGCAGCCGCGGUAAUACAGAGGGUGCAAGCGUUGUUCGGAAUUAUUGGGCGUAAAGCGCGUGUAGGCGGCCAGCCAAGUCGGGUGUGAAAGCCCUCGGCUUAACCGAGGAAGUGCGCCCGAAACUAGCUGGCUUGAGUACCGGAGAGGGUGGCGGAAUUCCCGGUGUAGAGGUGAAAUUCGUAGAUAUCGGGAGGAACACCAGCGGCGAAGGCGGCCACCUGGACGGAUACUGACGCUGAGACGCGAAAGCGUGGGGAGCAAACAGGAUUAGAAACCCGAGUAGUCC